GGCCAUAUCACUUUGAAGCACUGCUUCCUGUGUGAACACUGAAGUUAAGCAAUGUCAAUCCUGUUGAGUACCUAGAUGGAUGACCACUUGGGAAUACCAGGUGCUGUAAG